GAUGAACGCUGGCGGCGUGCUUAACACAUGCAAGUCGAACGAGAAAGCCCAGCUUGCUGGGCGGCUUAGUGGCGAACGGGUGAGUAACACGUGAGUAACCUGCCCUUGUCUCUGGGAUAAGCCCGGGAAACUGGGUCUAAUACCGGAUAGGAGCGCCUGUCGCAUGACGGGUGCUGGCGAGAUCUUUCGGUCAUGGAUGGGCUAGCGGCCUAUCAGCUUGUUGGUGAGGUAACGGCUCACCAAGGCGACGACGGGUAGCCGGCCUGAGAGGGGGACCGGCCACACUGGGACUGAGACACGGCCCAGACCCCUACGGGAGGCAGCAGUGGGGAAUAUUGCACAAGGGGCGAAAGCCUGAUGCAGCGACGCCGCGUGGGGGAUGACGGCCUUCGGGUUGUAAACCACUUUCAGCUGGGAAGAAGCGAAAGUGACGGUACCUGCAGAAGAAGCACCGGCUAACUACGUG
rnacentral:rRNA from 1 species